GGAGAGAUGGCAGAGUUGGUUUAAUGCAGUUGAUUUGAAAUCAAAUGAAUUUUAUAAAUUCCGUGGGUUCAAAUCCUACUCUCUCUA
rnacentral:tRNA from 1 species